rnacentral:rRNA from 1 species
UGUGAGGGUUCGAUCCCCUUCCACCUGUUCCCAUUCCGAACACAGAAGUUAAGCUCUCUAGCGCUGAUGGUACUUGGUGGGAAACUGCCUGGGAGAGUAGGACGUAGCCACGUA